rnacentral:rRNA from 1 species
UCCCGUAAUUAAUUGAGUUUUAAUCUUGCGACCGUACUCCCCAGGCGGAUAACUUAAUGCGUUAGCUGCGCCACCCAAACACCAUGUGCCCGGACAGCUAGUUAUCAUCGUUUACGGCGUGGACUACCAGGGUAUCUAAUCCUGUUUGCCCCCCACGCUUUCGCGCCUCAGCGUCAGUUACGGGCCAGUGUGUCGCCUUCGCCACUGGUGUUCUUCCGAAUAUCUACGAAUUUCACCUCUACACUCGGAGUUCCACACACCUCUCCCGCACUCUAGACAUCCAGUAUCAAAGGCAGUUCCAAGGUUGAGCCCUGGGCUUUCACCUC